UACGUAGGGGCCUAGCGUUGUCCGGAAUCACUGGGCUUAAAGGGCGCGUAGGCGGUCCGCCAAGUCAGGGGUGAAAUCCUGCAGCUUAACUGUAGAAGUGCCUCUGAUACUGGCGGUCUUGAGGGAAAUAGGGGUGUGCGGAACUUCCAGUGGAGCGGUGAAAUGCGUUGAUAUUGGAAGGAACGCCGGAGGCGAAAGCGGCGCACUGGAUUUCUUCUGACGCUGAGGCGCGAAAGCUAGGGGAGCAAACGGG
rnacentral:rRNA from 1 species